rnacentral:rRNA from 1 species
GCUUACGACCACACCGGCCUGAGUACGCCUGAUCUCGUCUGAUCUCGGAAGCUAAGUAGGGUCGGGCCUGGUUAGUACUUGGAUGGGUGACCGCCUGGGAAUACCAGGUGCUGUAAGCU